GGAAGGGGCCUACCCAAUGGGCAAUUAUAUCAUAGAGCAGCAGUAUUGGCCAUCCUCUUCCCCGUCACCCAACAAGCUAAUUGCCCACAAUGGGUAUCCAUAGAACAGCACUGGUUGCAAAACCAAGACAUUAAAACAAUAAUGUGGUUACCCCCACACCAUAGGGGCAACACCACCCAAGCACUCCCAGCCACCCUGGCAACGUUAAAAAUUUGGGACGUCUCGC